GGGUUGUGAGGUUAAGCGACUAAGCGUACACGGUGGAUGCCCUGGCAGUCAGAGGCGAUGAAGGACGUGCUAAUCUGCGAAAAGCGUCGGUAAGGUGAUAUGAACCGUUAUAGCCGGCGAUGUCCGAAUGGGGAAACCCAGUGCAAUUCGUUGCACUAUCGUUAACUGAAUACAUAGGUUAACGAGGCGAACCGGGGGAACUGAAACAUCUAAGUACCCCGAGGAAAAGAAAUCAACCGAGAUUCCCCCAGUAGCGGCGAGCGAACGGGGAGCAGCCCAGAGUCUGAAUCAGCUUGUGUGUUAGUGGAACGGUCUGGAAAGUCCGACGGUACAGGGUGAUAGUCCCGUACACCAAAAUGCACAGGUUGUGAACUCGAAGAGUAGGGCGGGACACGUGGUAUCCUGUCUGAAUAUGGGGGGACCAUCCUCCAAGGCUAAAUACUCCUGACUGACCGAUAGUGAACCAGUACCGUGAGGGAAAGGCGAAAAGAACCCCGGCGAGGGGAGUGAAAAAGAACCUGAAACCGUGUACGUACAAGCAGUGGGAGCACCUUCGGGUGUGACUGCGUACCUUUUGUAUAAUGGGUCAGCGACUUAUAUUCUGUAGCAAGGUUAACCGUAUAGGGGAGCCGCAGGGAAACCGAGUCUUAACUGGGCGUUAAGUUGCAGGGUAUAGACCCGAAACCCGGUGAUCUAGCCAUGGGCAGGUUGAAGGUUGGGUAACACUAACUGGAGGACCGAACCGACUAAUGUUGAAAAAUUAGCGGAUGACUUGUGGCUGGGGGUGAAAGGCCAAUCAAACCGGGAGAUAGCUGGUUCUCCCCGAAAGCUAUUUAGGUAGCGCCUCGUGAACUCAUCUUCGGGGGUAGAGCACUGUUUCGGCUAGGGGGUCAUCCCGACUUACCAACCCGAUGCAAACUACGAAUACCGAAGAAUGUUAUCACGGGAGACACACGGCGGGUGCUAACGUCCGUCGUGAAGAGGGAAACAACCCAGACCGCCAGCUAAGGUCCCAAAGUCAUGGUUAAGUGGGAAACGAUGUGGGAAGGCACAGACAGCCAGGAUGUUGGCUUAGAAGCAGCCAUCAUUUAAAGAAAGCGUAAUAGCUCACUGGUCGAGUCGGCCUGCGCGGAAGAUGUAACGGGGCUAAACCAUGCACCGAAGCUGCGGCAGCGACACUAUGUGUUGUUGGGUAGGGGAGCGUUCUGUAAGCCUGCGAAGGUGUGCUGUGAGGCAUGCUGGAGGUAUCAGAAGUGCGAAUGCUGACAUAAGUAACGAUAAAGCGGGUGAAAAGCCCGCUCGCCGGAAGACCAAGGGUUCCUGUCCAACGUUAAUCGGGGCAGGGUGAGUCGACCCCUAAGGCGAGGCCGAAAGGCGUAGUCGAUGGGAAACAGGUUAAUAUUCCUGUACUUGGUGUUACUGCGAAGGGGGGACGGAGAAGGCUAUGUUAGCCGGGCGACGGUUGUCCCGGUUUAAGCAUGUAGGCUGGUUAUCCAGGCAAAUCCGGAUAAUCAAGGCUGAGGUGUGAUGACGAGGCACUACGGUGCUGAAGUAACAAAUGCCCUGCUUCCAGGAAAAGCCUCUAAGCAUCAGGUAACAUCAAAUCGUACCCCAAACCGACACAGGUGGUCAGGUAGAGAAUACCAAGGCGCUUGAGAGAACUCGGGUGAAGGAACUAGGCAAAAUGGUGCCGUAACUUCGGGAGAAGGCACGCUGGUGUGUAGGUGAAGCCCCUGCGGGUGGAGCUGAGACCAGUCGAAGAUACCAGCUGGCUGCAACUGUUUAUUAAAAACACAGCACUGUGCAAACACGAAAGUGGACGUAUACGGUGUGACGCCUGCCCGGUGCCGGAAGGUUAAUUGAUGGGGUUAUCCGUAAGGAGAAGCUCUUGAUCGAAGCCCCGGUAAACGGCGGCCGUAACUAUAACGGUCCUAAGGUAGCGAAAUUCCUUGUCGGGUAAGUUCCGACCUGCACGAAUGGCGUAAUGAUGGCCAGGCUGUCUCCACCCGAGACUCAGUGAAAUUGAACUCGCUGUGAAGAUGCAGUGUACCCGCGGCAAGACGGAAAGACCCCGUGAACCUUUACUAUAGCUUGACACUGAACAUUGAGCCUUGAUGUGUAGGAUAGGUGGGAGGCUUUGAAGCGUGGACGCCAGUCUGCGUGGAGCCAACCUUGAAAUACCACCCUUUAAUGUUUGAUGUUCUAACGUUGGCCCCUUACCGGGGUUGCGGACAGUGUCUGGUGGGUAGUUUGACUGGGGCGGUCUCCUCCCAAAGCGUAACGGAGGAGCACGAAGGUUAGCUAAUCCUGGUCGGACAUCAGGAGGUUAGUGCAAUGGCAUAAGCUAGCUUGACUGCGAGCGUGACGGCGCGAGCAGGUGCGAAAGCAGGUCAUAGUGAUCCGGUGGUUCUGAAUGGAAGGGCCAUCGCUCAACGGAUAAAAGGUACUCCGGGGAUAACAGGCUGAUACCGCCCAAGAGUUCAUAUCGACGGCGGUGUUUGGCACCUCGAUGUCGGCUCAUCACAUCCUGGGGCUGAAGUAGGUCCCAAGGGUAUGGCUGUUCGCCAUUUAAAGUGGUACGCGAGCUGGGUUUAGAACGUCGUGAGACAGUUCGGUCCCUAUCUGCCGUGGGCGCUGGAGAAUUGAGGGGGGCUGCUCCUAGUACGAGAGGACCGGAGUGGACGCAUCACUGGUGUUCGGGUUGUCAUGCCAAUGGCACUGCCCGGUAGCUAAAUGCGGAAGAGAUAAGUGCUGAAAGCAUCUAAGCACGAAACUUGCCCCGAGAUGAGUUCUCCCUGAGACUUUAAGUCUCCUGAAGGAACGUUGAAGACGACGACGUUGAUAGGCCGGGUGUGUAAGCGCAGCGAUGCGUUGAGCUAACCGGUACUAAUGAACCGUGAGGCUUAACCUUACAACGCCGAAG
rnacentral:rRNA from 1 species